GACGGAGGGUGCUAGCGUUGUUCGGAAUCACUGGGCGUAAAGGGCGCGUAGGCGGCCUCAGGUGUCGGAUGUGAAAGCCCGGGGCUCAACCCCGGAGGUGCAUCCGAAACUCUGGGGCUGGAGGUCGGAAGAGGUGGGUGGAAUACCCAGUGUAGAGGUGAAAUUCGUAGAUAUUGGGUGGAACACCGGUGGCGAAGGCGGCUCACUGGUCCGGUUCUGACGCUGAGGCGCGAAAGCGUGGGGAGCAAACAGG
rnacentral:rRNA from 1 species